GAGCCCUUCGGGGUACACGAGCGGCGAACGGGUGAGUAACACGUGAGCAACCUGCCCCUGACUCUGGGAUAAGCGGUGGAAACGCCGUCUAAUACCGGAUACGACCCGCCACCUCAUGGUGGAGGGUGGAAAGUUUUUCGGUCAGGGAUGGGCUCGCGGCCUAUCAGCUUGUUGGUGGGGUAACGGCCUACCAAGGCGAUUACGGGUAGCCGGCCUGAGAGGGCGACCGGCCACACUGGGACUGAGACACGGCCCAGACUCCUGCGGGAGGCAGCAGUGGGGAAUAUUGCGCAAUGGGCGAAAGCCUGACGCAGCGACGCCGCGUGGGGGAUGACGGCCUUCGGGUUGUAAACCUCUUUUACCACCAACGCAGGCUCGAAGUUCUCUUCGGGUUGACGGUAGGUGGGGAAUAAGGACCGGCUAACUACGUGCCAGCAGCCGCGGUAAUACGUAGGGUCCGAGCGUUGUCCGGAAUUAUUGGGCGUAAAGAGCUCGUAGGCGGCGUGUCGCGUCUGCUGUGAAAGACCGGGGCUUAACUCCGGUUCUGCAGUGGAUACGGGCAUGCUAGAGGUAGGUAGGGGAGACUGGAAUUCCUGGUGUAGCGGUGAAAUGCGCAGAUAUCAGGAGGAACACCGGUGGCGAAGGCGGGUCUCUGGGCCUUACCUGACGCUGAGGAGCGAAAGCAUGGGGAGCGAACAGGAUUAGAUACCCUGGUAGUCCAUGCCGUAAACGUUGGGCGCUAGGUGUGGGGACUUUCCACGGUUUCCGCGCCGUAGCUAACGCAUUAAGCGCCCCGCCUGGGGAGUACGGCCGCAAGGCUAAAACUCAAAGG
rnacentral:rRNA from 1 species